rnacentral:rRNA from 1 species
GUAGUCUCGCACAGAUGCAUAUCAAUAAGCGGAGGAAAAGAAACUAACAAGGAUUCCCCUAGUAACGGCGAGUGAAGCGGGAAGAGCUCAAAUUUGAAAUCUUCAAGGUUUGACCUUGACGAAUUGUAGUUUAAAGAAGUGUUUUCGGUUAGAGGAGUUAGUAAAAGUUCUUUGGAAUAGGACAUCAUAGAGGGUGAGAAUCCCGUAUUUGACUAUUACUUUCUAGCUUUGUGAUACACUUUCAAAGAGUCGGAUUGUUUGGGAAUGCAGUCCAAAAUGGGUGGUAAAUUUCAUCUAAAGCUAAAUAUUGGCGAGAGACCGAUAGCGAACAAGUACCGUGAGGGAAAGAUGAAAAGAACUUUGAAAAGAGAGUUAAACAGUACGUGAAAUUGUCAAAAGGGAAGCGUUUGACACCAGUGUUGUUUUUCUGAAAAUCAAUUAAAAAUUGAUUCAUGCUAAGGUUGUAUUAGACCUUAUCAGCUUGCAAUUUGGUUUUGGGUCUCUUUUUGAAUGCACUUUUCGGUUAACAAGUCAACAUCAAUUUCCUUUGCUGUAAAAAGCUAGAGGAAGGUGGCUUCAGAUUCGGUCUGAAGUGUUUAUAGCCUCUUUAUCUCUGCAGUCGGAGAGAUUGAGGUCUGCAGCGUAGAUCCUUCGGGGCUGGAAUACAUUUAUGCUAAGUUAUAGCAUUUUCAUAGACAACUUGUUGACUAUGAUUUAGUCAUGUAGCUUACUCGCUAAGUGCUAUUUUACCUACGCUUAGGAUGUUGAAGACUCUACAGAGAU